rnacentral:rRNA from 1 species
GACAGCCAGGAUGUUGGCUUAGAAGCAGCCAUCAUUUAAAGAAAGCGUAAUAGCUCACUGGUCGAGUCGGCCUGCGCGGAAGAUGUAACGGGGCUAAACCAUGCACCGAAGCUGCGGCAGCGACGCUGAUGCGUUGUUGGGUAGGGGAGCGUUCUGUAAGCCUGUGAAGGUGUGCUGUGAGGCAUGCUGGAGGUAUCAGAAGUGCGAAUGCUGACAUAAGUAACGAUAAAGCGGGUGAAAAGCCCGCUCGCCGGAAGACCAAGGGUUCCUGUCCAACGUUAAUCGGGGCAGGGUGAGUCGACCCCUAAGGCGAGGCCGAAAGGCGUAGUCGAUGGGAAACAGGUUAAUAUUCCUGUACUUGGUGUUACUGCGAAGGGGGGACGGAGAAGGCUAUGUUGGCCGGGCGACGGUUGUCCCGGUUUAAGCGUGUAGGCUGGUUUUCCAGGCAAAUCCGGAAAAUCAAGGCUGAGGCGUGAUGACGAGGCACUACGGUGCUGAAGCAACAAAUGCCCUGCUUCCAGGAAAAGCCUCUAAGCAUCAGGUAACAUCAAAUCGUACCCCAAACCGACACAGGUGGUCAGGUAGAGAAUACCAAGGCGCUUGAGAGAACUCGGGUGAAGGAACUAGGCAAAAUGGUGCCGUAACUUCGGGAGAAGGCACGCUGAUAUGUAGGUGAAGUCCCUCGCGGAUGGAGCUGAAAUCAGUCGAAGAUACCAGCUGGCUGCAACUGUUUAUUAAAAACACAGCACUGUGCAAACACGAAAGUGGACGUAUACGGUGUGACGCCUGCCCGGUGCCGGAAGGUUAAUUGAUGGGGU